GGACUGAAAUGGGACAAAAAGAGGCCAUACUGAGAACAGCAGGGACGAGUCUCUUCUCCAUCCCACCUGGCCCGCUGACUUCAGGCCAGAGCCCGAGGCCCCGACAGGGCCCACCUCCAGCAGAGCCAAGGACAGCAACACCCCACGAAGAGCCACGCAGAUUAUGCCUGCAGGCCGGACCCGCCCCUCAGGCUCUGGGACCACGGGAGGUCUUCUGUGAGAAGCACACAUGGAGUUUUCCUGUUACACAGGGCCUGCUAGAUCACCUAGAACCUUCUUUGACAAUGGAAACAUUCUCUGUUUGCCCUAUCCCAUGUGGUAGCCACGAGCCACAUGCGGCUUCUAAGCAAGUGAAAUGUGGCUAGUGUCACUGAGGGACUGAAGUUUUCUCUAGUGAGUUAUUUCAUUUGAACUUCAACAGCCACACAUGGCCAGCGCCUGCCCCCACUGGAUGGUGCAGAUGGGGAACAUUUGGAAGAAUGGGGGUUUGGGGUUGCCACAAUGCUGGCGUUUACUGGGUGGGCAGAGAUGCCAAACUUCCUGCCACAUGCUGGCCAACACCCAGAGGAGACCUGCCCUCCUGUGGCGGGGCUCCUGCAGGAACUGCCCAAAGUCCAACCCCAUCAACUGACUAAAGGCCUUUAAAGGGAGACUCAUGGGAUACUUGGCACUGCACGGGGAAAACCCAGGCCCGAGGCACCCCGUAAGUUGGAGGGGGCUGAGUCAGCAGCCAGCCCCUGGGCUUCCAGUCCUGGCCUGAGGAGGAGGGAGCUGCCUGGGUGAGCCCCUAUCACUGUGGUCUCAGGCCCCUGUAUUCUCUGAGACCCCCUUCCCAAGGGGGGACUACCCGGGAACCCUUACAGCACGGCUAUGUGAGCCUGGCCCUCACCCUCCCUGUGAGGGAAAGGAGGCAGGGGACAACGGGGUUGUGGAGCGCCUGCUUGGUCCCUCUGUCUUUGUCGGACCAAGCCAAGGAGACAAGCUGGUCCCCUUGGGGUGCCCUGAGCUGCACUGCAGGGGACAACCACCAGUGCUCAGACUGGGGAGUCCGCCCCCCCCCCCCCACAGAGGAGGAAGACUCCAUCCAGUUCAAGGCCUGGAGUUAGGGGCAAAGGUGGUUCCAAGAUAGCUCCCCAGCGCCUCCCCACAGGUCCCAGGAAAGGGGGGGGGCAUCUGCUGCCAAGCACAAAGUGGCUUUUUCUGCUCACCCUUUCUACUUCCUGAGCCAGGUCCAAAAUUGAUUAAAACUAAGUAAAAAGCGCUGCCCAGGGAAUGACAAAA